rnacentral:rRNA from 1 species
GACGAACGCUGGCGGCGUGCUUAACACAUGCAAGUCGAACGGACAGGCCCUGCUUGCAGGGUACCCGAGUGGCGAACGGGUGAGUAACACGUGGGUGUUCUGCCCUGCACUUCGGGAUAAGCCUGGGAAACUGGGUCUAAUACCGGAUAGGAGCCAUAUUUCGUGUGAUGGUUGGAAAGUUUGUUCGGUGUAGGAUGAGCUCGCGGCCUCUCAGCUUGUUGGUGGAGUAAUGGCCUACCAAGGCGGCGACGGGUAGCCGGCCUGGGAGGGUGGACGGCCACAUUGGGACUGAGAUACGGCCCAGACUCCUACGGGAGGCAGCAGUGGGGAAUAGUGAACAAUGGGAGCAAGCCUGAUGCAGCGACGCCGCGGGGGGGAUGACGGCCUUCGGGUUGUAAACUCCUUUCGCUAGGGACGAAGCUUUUUGUGACGGUACCUAGAUAAGAAGCACCGGCUAACUACGUG